rnacentral:misc_RNA from 1 species
UUCUCUUCCUUCGAGUAUCUACACCAUAUCCCCGCCGUGCCUCCACACUUGCGCGCGCCGUGUCUCUCUCUUGCACAUACGGACAACCGCACGCACUCACACACGUGUCUUUUCUUGCUCUUCUUGCUCUCUCCCUCUCUCUCUCUGGCCCCUCCAUCCCUCCUAGACACCAGUCGAUACGACGCCGUGGCACCAGGAAGCUCCACAAACAAGCUACGCCACCUGUACCCUACACACCAGUGCACCGCCCCCUUUGGCUCCCCCGUGUGCCCCCACCCCCUUUCGUCCACUUCCUUGUCGAACACAAGUGCGCGUCGUCUAUAGGCCACGUAUAUACGAGGAAAACGCAUACACGCCCCUUGGACCACCGACUUCACCCCUCGUCUUCCCCACCGUGAUCAUGGCCAACCCCAACACGCCCGGCGGUGACUGCGACUACAUCUUCAAGAUCAUUGUCAUUGGUGACAGUGGCGUAGGCAAGUCAUCCUUGACGGUGCGUCUCUCCGAAGAUGUCUUCUACAAGGACUACGCCUCCACCAUCGCCAUCGACUUUCGCAUGCACCAGAUGAACUACAUGGACAAGCGCGUCCGCCUUCAGAUUUGGGACACGGCCGGCCAGGAGCGCUUCCAGUCCGUCGCCACGGCGUUCUACCGCGGCGCCAAUGGGGUGCUGCUCUGCUUCGACCUCACCCACCGCCCGUCCUUUAUACACCUAGAGCAGUGGAUGGAACGCGUGAAGCAGCAGGCUCUCCCCGGUAUCCCGUGUCUGCUGGUGGGGUGCAAAAGCGAUGAGGCGCGCUCCAGCCGCCAGGUGACGCGCGAGGAGGCGGUAGCCUGGGCUCAGCAACACAACAUGGCCUUCAUCGAGACGAGCGCCAAGGAGAAGGAGAAUGUGCAGACGGCUUUCCAGCAGAUCACCAAGUUCAUCUUCGAGGACAUGAAGGAGCGCAACGGCAAGACACCGACGGCUGGAGACAACGCAGCUGGCCGCUCUCAGAGCGUUAACUUCGAUCGCCAGCGGAGCAACCGCAAGGAGAGCAAGUGCUGCUAGUCGUGAGCACCCACAAUGGCAGUAUAACACUACCUUGAAUGGCAGACACAGUUAGAACCGAAAACACGCGCACACGGAGAAACGUUCACAGGCACGGCUGCCUGUCAAGUGGGAACCCUUCUAGGGCGAUGUCUGAGGAACUGGUGUUGCGGAAAAGAGAGCGUGGUUGGCGUGGAUGUGUAAGCGGCGCUGGUGUCGCCGCCUCUCUGCUCUCGCUUCUCCCUCCCAUGCGGUGUUUCUUUGGCCCCCCCGUCUUCUCUCCCUUUUUUUUUGUUGUUGGUACCGCUUGCGUCUGCCUGCCUGCUUGAUAACUCUCCCUCUCUUUUCUUGCUUUUCUUUUCCCUCUCACUCGGUGUGGAUUAGCCAAGGAAGGGGGCACGGUGGGGAGAGGAGACGUAGCGGGAAUCUUCAUGUGGCCGUUCUCGGCAUAUGUCGGCGCUUCACAUCAUCUUGCCUGCAACUGAGGCGUAUCUCGCGCAGCCUUCUUUGCGCUGUUCUUUCGCUUCUGGUCUCUGCGUGUGUGUGGGUGUGUAGGGUGGUGUUGUGCGUCUCAGUUCGUUUCUCCCACACUCGCCCCUUUUUGGGCUCGCCCCACUCCCCACCCCACCCCUCCUUCCUUCCUUAGAUGUAUUGCCUUACCACGUGGCACCCCCUCUCCAUUCAGGCCUACUUCACUAACCACGCCACGGCCGUAGCCGUUGGGCGUGUCUGUGUGUCUCUGUGUAUGUGUAUGUGUGUGUCGCAGCGCUUCUCGCCCUUCCUCCUUCAGCAAGAACUGCGCGCGCUUGUGCUCUGUUUGUGUGCUCUGCUUCUUGAGCGUACGUGUACGCCAUCACACUUGCGCGCACACACACGCACGGCUACUCCCAGUGACUGACGCGCGUGAAUCUAACACGGGUGAUGAUGGAGGCAAGCGGGCUUGCGAAGAAGAAACAGCAGCAAGAGACGGGAACGAAUGCAAAGAGCGAAAGAAAGACAGCGCCUCUCCGCUAAUGGGCACAUGCAGGUGUGUACGCACAUAUAUAUGUGUAUAUAUCGAGAGAGAGAGAGAUGCACGUGUAUGUGUGUCUGUGUUUUGGAUGUCUCCCACGCAUACAUCAGCGCGCGCACACACACAUGCGUACACACAUGCAUACAUGCACUCUCUCUGAUCCCCAUUUUUAUUGCUGUGCCGUCGUUAUGCUUGCAUCUUUUUGUUGUUGUUUUUUCUGCUGCUGCUGAGAUCCAUGCGCUUGUCCUCUACCCUUCCUUCUUGUGUGCUUGUGCAUGUACCCUACCAGCAUCACCUGGCACAGACACAUAAACCUACACACACACCGGCCCCCCCCCUGUAUACACACACACACAGGCACACUUGCCUUAGUAUGUGUGUGUGUGUGGGUGGGUGGGUGGGUGGAUGUAGGUUGGUGUGUAUCAGAGUGCAUGUGUCUGUGCUUUUCUUUCUCUCCCGUCUCGUUGUGCGUGUACGUGCGCUCUUUCGGGCUUCGUUGUGGAUGUUUACCCUCUCAUCAUCAUCGCUGUGUCUCUGCCUUUUCUGUGCGUGUGUGUGGGGGGGGGCGAUGCGUAGCUGUUUGUGCGUGCACACGCGCCUUCCCUCUUUUGCUGACUCUUUUGGCUGUCCUUCGUGUGGUGUUUCUGUCUUUGCUGUAGCCGUUUCCUUUCCUCGGCUGUGUUGCUGCCUCUCCCCCUCUCCUCCCCUCCCUUUGGUGUAUGCAAGUGUGGUGCACGAAAGGCGAAACAACCAUGAGAUGAUGCACCUAAUGAGUCGUCCCGCCAACGCUCCCACCCCACCCCCAUCCUUGCGAUGCCGCGGUUAGUGACGGGUGCACACACACACACACACACACACAGGCGCCAGUGACUACGCUGGCAACUCUGUACAGGAUGCGUUUGUUUGCGCCCCUCUCGCUCUUGGUGUGUUCCAGGACGUGCAGGAUGAGAUCAAGGUACAGUAAACCUGUAGCGUUUACGCCUUUCGUCACCUGCUUUACGUGGCAACGAGCGUAUCAUUCGGUGUCUGGCCAGCCCUGAGGGGGGGCGUGGCUCUGCUUUCCCACCCCCGCCCUCCUCUUCUCCACCCUCCCUGCUUGCGUGCGUUUGGUACGGACACUGCCGCGUGUGCUUCGUGUGCAGUGGCACCGCUACUCCUCCCCAUCCUCCUCCGAUCUUCUUACCUCGUUUGUCUUUGCUAUACGUGCUCGGUGUGCUGGCGGCUGUCGGAUGCGGCUGUGUGUGCCGCCUGCACAUGCAG